rnacentral:lncRNA from 1 species
UUGCCAUGGCCAUCAGCCAUUGAGAUAUAUUAUAGAUAACCAAAUGAAAACUUUGCAUACUCUCUCCGUUCUUCAAUGAGCAAAUUUACUUUAUAAGUCGAGUAACUUACCAACUUCGCGGAUAAUUCCACAGUAUCACAGUAAGAAGCACUAUAGCUUUUCGCGGUCUACCUUUCCUUCAAAAUAUCUGAACUCCUCCUAAAUAUCUUCGGCCUUUUAUCAAUAAAAAACCUCAUCUCAAGAACCUGAUACGUGUUCCUGACAGGUCGGAAAGCUCGAAUAAAUACUUUUUUAUUUACAAAUGGAAGUUUCUUUUGUUGAUGCUUCC